GUGUGUGUGUGUGUGUGUUCUGAUACCUGUCCUGUAGGGUUAGGUGUGUGUGUGUUCUGAUACCUGUCCUGUAGGGUUAGGUGUGUGUGUGUGUGUGUGUGUGUUCUGAUACCUGUCCUGUAGGGUUAGGUGUGUGUGUGUGUGUGUGUGUGUGUGUGUGUGUUCUGAUACCUGUCCUGUAGGGUUAGGUGUGUGUGUGUGUGUGUGUUCUGAUACCUGUCCUGUAGGGUUAGGUGUGUGUGUGUUCUGAUACUUGUCCUGUAGGGUUAGGUGUGUGUGUGUGUGUGUGUGUGUGUGUGUGUGUGUGUGUGUGUGUGUGUGUGUGUGUGUUCUGAUACCUGUCCUGUAGGGUUAGGUGUGUGUGUGUGUGUUCUGAUACCUAUCCUGUAGGUGUGUGUGUUCUGAUACCUGUCCUGUA